CAAAUGUCCCCUGUUUUGGGGGGAGAGGGCGGACAAAAUGGUCCCCGGUUGAGAACCACUGCCUAGAGUAUUGCAGAGCCACAAGAUGGCAGGAGUGUGAGUCCCUCCAUCACCAUGAAAUAGAAAGCCCACCAGGAAUUACUGCACUGGAUGAUCGAGCCGUGGAAAAUUUGAGGUUUGUUAGUUACAGCAUCUGGUGGUACCUAACCAAACACACCACUUAGAUCUGCUUUGCAAGUUGGACUUGUGUGUGAGAUUCCUUUUAAAGAAAGAGUUUCCUCAAAAAGAAUGAAAUGAACAAAACCUUUGAAAACUUUUGACCCAGUUCAGUCUCUUCCUUUUACAGACCAGGACCAGGUACAAAGAAGCGAGGUGACUUGUCCAAGAUCUCACAGCUAGUGAGUUGCAGAGGCAAGCCCAAAACUCAGGCCUCCAGAGGCUUCAUCCAGUGCCCUAACCUGAAGUCUCCCACCUCUAACCCUCUCCAGUCAACAACAGGUGGAGGUGAUAAAACCAGCCACUUUGAAAAGCAGCACUGUCUCAAAGGCCUGGGUACCGUUUAACUUGGCCAAAACUUGGGCUGAUGUCACCCUAGUCCUGCAGUUUGGAUAACGGUUCCCGGAAUUAAACUUCAGGCCUCAGGAUGUCUGAGCUGGGGGCUAAUUGUUGAAUUGUCCCAAGCCAACAACAUUGUAAAAAAAUAAUUUCAUCUUAAUUGCUCAUGGGGAAAAAAGCAAAGAAGUGUGUAGACAUUUGGGGACCUAUGUGCUUUGUUAAACUAAACUACUAACAAUCUUGGACAAAGCAGUUUGGACAGUCUGCUGAGCUGGGUUAUUGUUAAGAGAUUCAAUCUUUAGAUACUCAGCUUUUCUAUAUUAUGUUGCAACAUUUGUUGCUUAACCUUUUUGCAUCAUUUUGAAUAGGAAAGUACUGCAGCACUGAAAAUUUCUUUACAAGUCGUCUAGCUCCUUGCUACUUGAAGUGUGUCCGUGGACUGACCGGCAGCAUUGGCAUCAUCCAAAGGCUUGCUAGAAACGCAGACUUUUAG
rnacentral:lncRNA from 1 species